rnacentral:rRNA from 1 species
UUGACCUCGGAUCAGGUAGGAAUACCCGCUGAACUUAAGCAUAUCAAUAAGCGGAGGAAAAGAAACCAACAGGGAUUGCCCCAGUAACGGCGAGUGAAGCGGCAACAGCUCAAAUUUGAAAUCUGGCCCCCCGGGUCCGAGUUGUAAUUUGCAGAGGAUGCUUCGGGUGCGGCGUCGACCAAGUCCCCUGGAACGGGGCGCCAUAGAGGGUGAGAGCCCCGUCGGGUCGGCCGCCAAGCCUGUGUGAAGCUCCUUCGACGAGUCGAGUAGUUUGGGAAUGCUGCUCUAAACGGGAGGUAGACCCCUUCUAAAGCUAAAUAUUGGCCAGAGACCGAUAGCGCACAAGUAGAGUGAUCGAAAGAUGAAAAGCACUUUGAAAAGAGGGUUAAACAGUACGUGAAAUUGUUGAAAGGGAAGCGCUUGUGACCAGACGUGCGCCGGGUGUUCAGCGGGCGUUCUCGCCCGUGUACUCGCCCCGGCGCAGGCCAGCGUCGGUUCGGAUGGGGGGACAAAGGCCCCGGGAAUGUGGCUCCUCCGGGAGUGUUAUAGCCCGGGGCGUCAUGCCCCCGCCCGGACCGAGGUUCGCGCUCUGCAAGGACGCUGGCGUAAUGGUCCCCAGCGGCCCGUCUUGAAACACGGACCAAGGAGUCGAGGUUUUGCGCGAGUGUUUGGGUGUCAAACCCGCACGCGUAAUGAAAGUGAACGCAGGUGGGAGCUUCGGCGCACCACCGACCGAUCCUGAUGUUCUCGGAUGGAUUUGAGUAGGAGCGUAGGGCCUCGGACCCGAAAGAUGGUGAACUAUACGUGGAUAGGGUGAAGCCAGAGGAAACUCUGGUGGAGGCUCGCAGCGGUUCUGACGUGCAAAUCGAUCGUCAAAUCUGCGUAUGGGGGCGAAAGACUAAUCGAACCAUCUAGUAGCUGGUUACCGCCG